ACAGAGAUAUUUCAAGAACAGCAACUCCUGCAAUAUUUCUGCAUGCUACUACGUCACAACAAAUAUACAAAAGUUGUCUUUCUUGAUUAAUCAGACGAUACGGGCUCAACAGAUCUCAUAGCAGACGAUGACAGUGUAUCAAAUCAAGGACUAGAAUUCCAUCUGACAUAGAUGAACGAAUUCUCUUUUAUCUCAGACAGGGGAGUAUACACAAUACACAGAGAUUUAAACAAUUAUUCUGUUGUUUGUGAAUUUGGUGAUCAAACUAUUUUUAAAUAUCUUUUAUAAAUGAAGAUCUAUAGAAAAGCAUUUAAAUUGGUGAUUGAUAUUUGGGCAGUAUGACAACACAGAGAAAAUCAGUAUUUUUAUGGUUGUGAAUAUUUGGUGAUCUUGUAUAUAGAUUUGUAAAAAAAGUGAAAUAUUUUGUUUAUAGUAUACUAUUAAUAUAUAGAUAGAUAGGUAGAUAAAUAUAUAUCAAUUGGGGCCUCUGUUUCCCAGUAUACUUUUGGAAUGUCGGUAAGUGAGAAAGUUUCCCAGUUUACUUUUGGAAUGUCGGUAAGUGAGAAAGUUUCCCAGUUUACUUUCGGAAGGUCGGUAAGUGAGAAAGUUUCCCAGUUUACUUUCGGAAGGUCGGUUUCUUCCCAGACCUUACAUUGUAUCUCCUCCAUCAAUAAAAAACUGGGCGCCACCAGAUAACUGAAAAAUUAUGGAGUGUGGCGGAAAACAGCAAAACAAACAUGAUAAUAGUGAAACAUUAACUGCAGUAUUAAUAUCAAUAAAUAUAUUAGCUAUAUAUCUAUAGUAUGUUGUUAUAGUAUGUUUAUAUGUAAUUAUAGUAUGUUUAUAGUAUGUUUAUAGUAUGUUAUUAUAGUAUGUUAUUGGCAGUUGAACUUCAUUAUAUAAGAUAUAACGAACAGUGAUCAAUAUCAUUACUUCUAUAAGGAAUACAAAAUUAAGUGUUGGGUGAACUCGGACCCCUGGAUAUACCAGAGGUUGCUGUCAGGUGCCUGAAUAAUUCUUGUCUCAAUUCUAGGUUCUCUGUUGUUGAUUUGCAGGUGGUGACGGAGUAUCUGACCAAUUUAUUGACUGAAAUUCCACCAGUUUAAUACCGACAAAUCCUGCAUUAUCACAGACAGGGAAAAGGCCGGCAGCAGCACUCACAAAAAUGGCAAUAUACUUUUCUUAAUAUUCUUCCAGAUCUGAAGGAUUGAGGUCAAACUGGACUGCAUGAAGAACAAAGUAAAAGUGUGAGGAGGUGAUUGUAGUUGCAGCUCUUCUCAAAUCCCUGGACCCACACUAAGACCAGUCUGCUGGACUUCCAACUGAUUCAUACCUGUAGUAAUUAAUGCCCUGCCCAUUCAACCAAAUCAUUGAUGAACAGUAUGGAUGUGAAGGAUUAUGGUCAAACUGGACUGCAUGAAGAACAAAGUAAAAUUGUGAGGAGGUGAUUGAAGUUGCAGUUCUUCUCAAAUCCCAGGACUCAUACUAAGGCCAGUCUGCUGGACUUUUAACUGAUUUAUUGUAACGCCCUGCUCAUUCGAAUCACUGAUGAACAAUAUGGGCCAUGAUUGGAAUAUUUAGAUACAAGUUGUGAAUGUAUUGAUGAUGAACAGAAGAUUAUGACCCUGACUCUGAAGAUCUAUGAUGAAGAAUGGACACUUGGGCCACUAACUCUUCUGUACUACAAAACUAAAAUGAGUUGACUGGAAUACUGAACCUCAAGAUAUUCUAUGUACAUACAACGUGUAUGAUUAAAAUUCUGUUUCACUCGCGCAUGCGAGCUAAUUGUA